rnacentral:rRNA from 1 species
AUUGAACGCUGGCGGCAGGCCUAACACAUGCAAGUCGAACGGUAACAGGAAGAAGCUUGCUUCUUUGCUGACGAGUGGCGGACGGGUGAGUAAUGUCUGGGAAACUGCCUGAUGGAGGGGGAUAACUACUGGAAACGGUAGCUAAUACCGCAUAACGUCGCAAGACCAAAGAGGGGGACCUUCGGGCCUCUUGCCAUCGGAUGUGCCCAGAUGGGAUUAGCUUGUUGGUGGGGUAACGGCUCACCAAGGCGACGAUCCCUAGCUGGUCUGAGAGGAUGACCAGCCACACUGGAACUGAGACACGGUCCAGACUCCUACGGGAGGCAGCAGUGGGGAAUAUUGCACAAUGGGCGCAAGCCUGAUGCAGCCAUGCCGCGUGUAUGAAGAAGGCCUUCGGGUUGUAAAGUGCUUUCAGCGGGGAGGAAGGGAGUAAAGUUAAUACCUUUGCUCAUUGACGUUACCCGCAGAAGAAGCACCGGCUAACUCCGUG